rnacentral:rRNA from 1 species
CAGCCGCCGCGGUAAUACGAGGGGGGCAAGCGUUGUUCGGAAUUAUUGGGCGUAAAGGGUGCGUAGGCGGUUUGAUAAGUCUUGUGUGAAAUCUAUGGGCUCAACCCAUAGUCUGCGUAGGAAACUGUCGGGCUUGAGAGUGGGAGAGGUGAGUGGAAUUUCCGGUGUAGCGGUGAAAUGCGUAGAUAUCGGAAGGAACACCUGUGGCGAAAGCGGCUCACUGGACCAUUUCUGACGCUGAUGCACGAAAGCUAGGGGAGCAAACAGGAUUAGAUACCCCCGUAGUCCCUGUCUCUUAUAC